AGUGCCCCGCCCAGCAUACAGUAUAAAUACAGUGCUCAGCCUUGCCAUCUCCCACAGAGCGUGCCAGACCAGAAACAACUCCGCUCCAGAGAGAGUAAAGACGCAAAGAUGAAGGUGUCAUAUGUGGCCGCUUUCCUCAUCGGGCUCCUCUCCCUGGAGAGCACCAGAGCGGCUCCGUUGUUGUGGUCUGUGGGCUCUGGUAGCGUAAAGACCGGUGACGUGGGCCACGGCAGCUUUAACGACAACAGCAAAAACAACAAAUUCUGGUCAGUGGGCUCUGGUAGCGUAAAGACUGGUGACGUGGGCCACGGCAGCUUUAACGACAACAGCAAAAACAACCAAUUCUGGUCAGUGGACUCUGGUAGCGUAAACACCGGUAACGUGGGCCACGGCAGCUUUAACGACAACAGUAUAAACAACAAAUUCUUGCCAGUGAAAAACAACAAAUUCUGGUCAGUGGGCUCUGGUAGCGUAAACACUGGAGACGUGGGCCACGGCAGCUUUAACGACAACAGUAUAAACAACAAAAUCUUGCCAGUGAAAAAGAACAAAUUCUGGUCAGUGGGCUCUGGGAGCGUAAACACCGGUGACGUGGGCCACGGCAGCUUUAACGACAACAGCAAAAACAACAAAUUCUGGUCAGUGGACUCUGGUAGCGUAAACACCGGUGACGUAGGCCAUGGCAGCUUUAACGACAACAGCAAAAACAACAAAUUAUGCUUAGUG
rnacentral:lncRNA from 1 species